CCUACGUGUGGCAGCAGUGGGGAAUAUUGCGCAAUGGGCGAAAGCCUGACGCAGCGACGCCGCGUGAGGGAUGAAGGUCUUCGGAUCGUAAACCUCUGUCAGCAGGGAAGAACGGUCACUGUGCUAAUCAGCAGUGAAUUGACGGUACCUGCAAAGGAAGCACCGGCUAACUCCGUGCCAGCAGCCGCGGUAAUACGGAGGGUGCGAGCGUUAAUCGGAAUUACUGGGAGUAAAGCGAUCGUAGGCGGUAUGUCAAGUCAAGGGUGAAAUCCCCGCGCUCAACGUGGGAACUGCCUGUGAAACUGGCAAACUGGAGUGUGUGAGAGGAUAGUGGAAUUCCAGGUGUAGGAGUGAAAUCCGUAGAUAUCUGGAGGAACAUCAGUGGCGAAGGCGACUAUCUGGCACAUAACUGACGCUGAGGAGCGAAAGCGUGGGUAGCAAACAGGAUUAGAUACCCUAGUAGUC
rnacentral:rRNA from 1 species